AGAAAGGGUGACAAGAUACACAUUUUAACCUCCUAACAUCCUUAACGGGCCAGCCAAGAUCCCAGGAGUCUGAGCAAGCAGGAGACACCCAAUCUGAAUCCAUGACCGGGGAUUGGGUGGAAGGCAAAGUUUAGAAGAGUGAUUUAGGGUCAGGCCAUAAAUGUCAAAACACUAUGGCAUCCAAUUUACGGAUAGGCCAAAACUCUCCUUAUGAAAAUGCCAUGUGAUGGAUUAUUAUUAUUUCACAAAACACGGAAUCAAAGCUUUUAAAAAAUGAAAUGGUGUCAUGUUUGCAAAGUACUCUGCCGACGAAGUGGCAAAUUCACAUGAACUUGACGUCCUUGGUCUUAAAGGAUAUACAAUUGGCUCCAGAAAGUGCCAAACAGGGCGACAAAACGAAGGUUGUGGAGGAAGGAGACGAGGAAGAGAGACUGCCUAGAGACAGAGAGGAAAAGGACUGCCUAGAGACAAAGAGGGAAAGAAGUCAUGGCUAGUCUCGGAUUCUGCUGCCCCAGAGACAACCAAUCCUGAGAGGCCCUACCAACAAGCAAGAGCCCAGGGCUGGAUACAAAGGACAAAGACCAGAACCCAGAUCUUUGGACUACCAGGACAGGAAGUGGGGAGAGAAGAUAAACGCUCGGUAAUUGGAAAAACAAAAACAAAACUAAACAAAACAAACGAAAGAAUCAAGGAUGUAGGCAGGGCAGAGUCCCAAAGGAUUAGUGGAAAGACACUGAAGAAAGACAAGCUGCCUGCUUCACCAGUCAGACAUUUGUUUCUUCCUAGAGAUCUCAUACAGCACAAAACCAGAUCUAAAACUCCUCUUUCCUUAGGAAUUACGUACCCUACUCCACCUUUCCUCCUGGGAAAUUAGCUCUAAUUCAUCCCUUUACACAUCAAAAUGUAAACAAAUCAAUCUCUAGGGUUUGGUCUCUCUGGAGGAAGCUCUCAGGCAUACUCAUCCUUCAGGAGCCAGGAGGGAAAGCAAUACAUUUAGCUGACGGUACAACAGACACUUCUGACAUAUGGACUGGAGAGCAGGUUUGCUGG